CAGCAGCAGCAGCAGCAGCAGUACGGUAGCGGCGGCGGGGGUCAGGGCUGGAAUCGAGCCACGCAGGCUCAGGGCUCGGCGUACCAGCAGAACCAGAGCCGCGGGGGGGCGGCUCCUCCUCCUCAGCCGCCGGGAGGAUACCAGCAGGGGUUCAACGACCGCAGAGACAACCGGGGACAACACCACCAGGGCUACGGCUCCAGAGGGUUCCCGGCCCCCCCUCCCUCCAGGAGAUACGACUGGAACAACUGAGCUCAAACUCCAGUCUUUUGGGACUUUGCGUCUAUUUUUUAGGGGAGAAAUGUCAGAAUUGUCUUAAUUGUACAAUUUAAUUUGUUGUUGUGUUUUUUUCUUCUUUUUAUCCACAAAAAAAAAAACAGUAAUAUGUGAUUUUUUUAGACCUUGUGAAAAUACAAGUGUGUCCCGGACUGAGUCCCGCUGUGUUUAUUCUUUAGGCAGAUCUCUCCCGGAGGUUCCUGUGUUUAAAACGUAAGAUAAGCAUGUGAAAUAAAAGAAUAACACUCAUGUGGGGUAUAUGUGUCCAGCAGGAAUGAUCUCACCCUUAAAGGGCCUGGUUUCCCCUUAAAAUCACCCUUAAUGUUAACUUUUGACAGAAAUACAGACUUUAAAUCCUCGAUGAUCAAGAUUCUUUCAUUUUAUUGUAUUAUCUUUUAUUAUCUUGUAUUAUUAUUAAGUUAUGUCCAGCAGGAAUGAUCUCACCCAUAAAGUGCAUUGUUUCCCCUUAAAAUCCCCCUUAAUGUUAACUUUUGACAGAAAAUACCAACUUUAAAUCUUGUUUUUUUUUAUUGAUUAUAAUAUAUUUUAUUAUUAAGUGAUAUUUGUCAGACAGGAAUUAUUAUUAUCUAUAAAGGACUUUUUCUUGAAUUCAACCUUAACAUUUUAUUCAAUUCAGCACUUAAAUUUUAACUUAAGGCAAUACCGACUUUAAAUUCUCAAUAAUAUAAUAAAAGGAAAAGGUUGAUUUUAUAUUACUUUUUAUUAUUAAGUGAUAUUUGUCCAACAGGAAUUAUCUUAACAUAAAAUACUUAGUCUUUAAACCACCCUUAUCAUUUUAUUCAAUCAACACUUAAAUUCACCCUUAAACACUUCAAUUACUACUAAAGGCUUUAAUCUUUUGUUUUGUAUUAAAACUCAAGAUGCAUUUUUAAAUGAUCUUAUAAUGUUUACUUUGUCUGACAGGAAUUAUCUCGACUUUUUUCCACUUAAAACCACCCUUAAAUGUUACCUUAAUUUGACAUGAAUACAGACUUUAAUUUGUAAUAAAACUCACUAUUUACUUUAAAAA